GAGAGAGAGAGAGAGAGAGAGAGAGAGAGAGAGAGAGAGAGGGGGGAGCGAGACCUCCGCUGGCCCCGCGAACUUGUCAAGUGCAAAGCACCAAGCUUUUGGGCUCAAAGAGCUUAGACCAUCAUGGCUACGAAAACUACUGCGGCUCAGAGAGUAUGUAAUUCUGGAGCUCCUUAAGGAAAAAAGUAGUGCGAUGCAACAUCAGAACAGUGGCCAAGUGAUCUUCUCAACAGCACCCAUGAACUUCAACCUUGAACGGAAGAAGACUCAUCAAAUGCCUUAGGAAAGACAGUAUGGAGUUGGAAGAGAAGCAGGGAUCUCCAUGAAGGGCAGUCAGUUAUGGUCAUGGUCGGCAUGCUUGGUUGGUCUGCCAACCAACACCACGUGUAGCUCAGACCUGGCCACAGUGUGAGCUGCCUCCUCCUCCUAAACAUCAGAAGCUGAAAUUUAGAGAAAUUUGUUUAGAAGGGAAUGGGAAAACAGCCAGGCUAGCUUUGGCACAAGUGUGUUGGUGGCAUCUAUAAGCAUGCAGGUGUGUGGAGGAACAGGUCCUGUUCUCGCUGUUGUUACUCCCACAUAGACAGACUCUGUAAUUGAUUAUGUGUGGGUAGGGCCCUUUUGAAAUUCAGGAGAUUCUGCAGUAGUGCAGGGUUCUUUUUGUGAAAGUGCAGUUGCAAGAUCAGGACCCUACUGUGACUCCUUACUGUGCAUUCUGUCACUGUCUCAUUGAUUGUACUGGAACCUGCCUAUUGGGAUAAUUACCAAAUACUAUAUUCCUCAAAACUUCUUAAUGGCACUGAGGCUUUGUGGAUAGUUGGUCACAUGAUGAGAAAAUUCAGCUGUAAUUCACCAUGGGACCCUGAAGUUCUUCCCUACUGCAAUUAGAUCAGAAGUGCCUCAGAACAGAUCUAAUUUCAGAGGAGAAAAGGAAGGAAAGUGGAAUGCCAGUGAGUUGGGUCUACUUUGCCUGUAGUGCUGAGCUGUUGUGAUAGUUUGAUUUUUAUGAUUUGCAUCAAGCAUGAAGCUUUCAAAGCCAUGUGUCAAAGGUCAAGUGGGUGGCUCAGCAAUGUGUGACACUACAAAAACUGCAGCAGAAAUCUCUCAUUGCACCUGUAAAUGUACACUUGCUAGAAAAUAACCCUGGACAAGAAUGUUACUUCUAAUGAACAGAUUUCAGCUCUUCUGCUCUAAUGGCCUGCACAGUUAGAGAACUGAGCUCCAUUUUGUGAUUGGCAGGAGGUCUCCUAAUGAAACACCCAGAAAGAGCUUCACAGGUACCAGAACUUGAAGGAAGAGGAGGGGUUGCUUCUGUCACCGUUCUUCCCUACAUUCUUCGUAUAUAGCUCCCACCACUGGCCUCUGUUCUGGGGGAGGAAGGCUUGUCAUGUGGACUGAGAGCUGCUGAAUGACAUGGUGGUAUCUAUUUAUGUGCUUGUGGGAUGGAGAGCAGAGCUGAGCAGGCAGUGCACACACCUCGCCGGGGCACAUAGCAACAUUAGAAAAAUUUGAAUUCUUAUGCAGAAGAGAAUUCCACCUAGAAUGUGUCUUACCUACAUAAAGCCUCCUGAAGUAUCAUAGCUACUACAAGGAAUUAGACCUCACUAGAAAUCAGAAGCAGGAUUGGUUUUGUGUACUGAUAAAUUAUUAAACGCAGUAAUACAUAGCAAGAUUACAUGCCAACCCACAGAAAUCCUUCAGAGUUGUUAUUUUUAACCUGUGUCAAUGAACAGUUUAUUCUGAACCAUUUCAAAUGUGUAUGCAUAUGCAUUAUAUACAUGUAUAUUAUAUAUAUAUAGGUAGUGACAAAGCAAGUAGUUUAAUACAUUUUAUGGCUCCAGCCUGGAGUUCUGCAUACAGGAACCUGUGUGUGGUCAAGGAGGCUUGCAUACUUUUGAACUCUAAGUUGGCCUAAUAAAAGAUAUCAUACUACAGUGCUUGCUUUGUCAAUCCUGUUUUGCUGGCUCAAAACGACUUGUGAGAUUAAUUUUCAAUUUUUAGCAUAAAACCCAAGAAAAAUAAGUGUUUACUUACUGCAAGGAGCUGAUUCCAUGUUAAUGACCCUGAAGGAGGCUUGUACACAAGGUACAGAUUGUUGCCAAUUUGAUGUAUAUUCAUGUUACAGAAUAUGAAAAUGAGAAGUUAUACCAUCUUGAGGAUUUUGUUUUUAUAAGUUAAAAAAGCUUUUAAGUAAUCACGCUGUGUGUUUGAUGGUGGAAAUUAGUAUGAAUGUUUCUGGCAGUGGAAUGAUGUGAUGUGGUUAUGCAUUUCUGUUUUCACUGCCUGCUCAAUAUUGGCCUUUUACAAAUACAGAUCACCAUGUCGAUGGAAGGAAUUUACAGCUUUGGCCCCCUUGUCUCACUCUGCGUUACAGCACCUUUUUUUGUACUUUAUGUUACAUAUCCUUCCCAGAAAAAGGAAAUGUCUGUAGACUGAGAUCUUGAAAAUGUGUGAGCUUUACUAUUUAAUUGAAUGAAAUAAGUAUUAUUUCCCAUUUACCUUGAUUUCCUGUGGGGUGAAAUCUUUCUCCUCUGAAACCAAACACUCUGCUGUGUAUGACAGGAUGGAGAGUCCAUCAGCCAUCCCUUAACAGCUAGUGACAUUGCAUACUGGAAGCUCAGAAAAAAACAACCCUUUAUAAUAAUAAUGAUAAUAAAAAGAAUAUUCUUUAAAAAGUCAAUAUUUAGGACCGUCAAAGAAAACUCAAGGUGAAUACAAAACCUAUAUGUAUGAUGUAUUUAACACUGUUAGUUUUGGGGCCUCAGACAGAACUGCAAGAUCCGUUUGUGUUCUGUAGGCUGUUACACUACAUCCCUUACUUACCUCAUCUUGUGGGCAAGGAGCUGCUUGCUCUCUCUGACUUCAUGGAAUUGCAGCUGUAUUUGUGGAGUGCUCUUGUCCUUUGGCACUGCCUCCCCUAUACAUUAAUACACUUUAAAUGCACUUUUCUCUGGAGGCAAACUUCAAAAUUUGUCUUUCAUCUUGAUGCAAUACAUAUUCAGAGUUUUUUAUUUUCCUGGAGUUUGGUUCCAGAGGAAAACAUAUUUGACUGGUGCUCCCACCAGCCAGCUGUGGUUUAUAAUGACAAUAAUUAACAGCAAGAUACUGCAACAGAAAAAUGGGGAGCAGAGAAAUGCAGUCCAGAAACUUCAGAGAUAUGAUUUUGUUAAUUUCUAAGAAUUCCAAAGUGCUUAACAAACAAUAUUACAGGCAGGAUGGGCAGCUCUGGUCAUUAUGAAUGUCUUUCAGUGCUUCCUGUUUCAAUAUUCUGGGUUUGUUUUGUUGGUUUUUUUUUUUUUUUCCCCAGAGCUCUGCCAAUGUGAAUGUAUUUAGGCUAAAUUAAUUUUUAUCCAGUACCAGUCUCCAGCUUUUUACGUUUUUGAAUUGAAAAGUGGUUGAACCAUUUAUAAGAAGAAGAAGAUUUUUGCUUUAUUUAAAAAAAUAGUAUCUGCCCCCUGUAUUUUUGAGCAAAGACAGGCCUUUCUCUGCCUUUGAAUCAGGUAUGUGCCUUUUGCCAUCCUCACAAAGCCUUUUAAGUUUGGUUGACUGUUUCAAGAAUGGAAAAAACCGCAGUUACCAAAUAUCCCAUAGAGGUUUACUAAAGCCUAACAGCAAAUAUUUCCAGAGAUUUCAUCUUCUCCGCCUUGCACAGCUCCUUCCCAUGAUCAGACUUUCCAUACACCAUCCUCACAGGAUGACUGAACAGUCACUAGCUGGGGGCACCAGAGGCCAAAAGUGAGGCAACCCCUGUAGUGUUGUCGCUGGGCGUUCCUUUGAGCCGCAGCGACGCUUUGCAGUGGAACCAGGAUUAUUAGGGAGCCAGUCUUUCCUGAGCUGGAGUGCAUCUUAGGGCUCCCAAACUUUAGUUUGUAUGCUGUUGGCAAGGCUCCAGCAUGGCUUCCCUUUGCCACUGGCCUGACUAUGUCCACGCACGUAGAGUAUUGGACAACCUCAACAAGACCCUGAGCAACCACAUCUGAUGGUGAAAUGAGUUCUGCUUUGAGCAGGGGGUGGGAAUAGACAACAUCCUGAGGGUCCUUCCCAGCCUGAGUGAGUCCAUGGUUCUGUGAUUCUUUACUGACCAUUUCUCCACUCAUAAAGGGUAUGAGUAGGCCUAAAGGCAGCAUCCUAGUCGGUGGGUUUCUGUAGGUAUGUUGCACAUAGUGGAAAUAGUAUUUAUUACUUGAUUUUUAAAAACAAAUGUAUUCAAAACACCUCAUUAAGAUAAUAUUCAAGAUGCGUGGACAGGUAUCCUAAAAUGAAGAUUAAAAAAAUGAUCUCUGCAACCUCAGUGUGCUUCCAAAACGUGUUUGUGUGGAAACACUGACUCUAGUUUUGUGAUAACACUGUGUUUUCACUCCUAUGGCUUCAUCUCUGUACCUAGCAUGGAUCUGCUCUGGGGAUGAAGCAGCUUUGAGGAGGGUUGGUGGUGCUGACUGCAGAACUCUAGCUCACUUGUUGAGCAGGUGCAAGGUAUUUUCUGAAUGAAGCAGGACAUGGUAGAAAAAGGAAACAAGAUCUCUAGGUUCAGGUAUCUGAAGUCUGUUCUGGAGAGCUGGGCAGUGCUCUUGCCUCCUCCAUUGUCUUCCUGUGUGUUAAUGGGCAGACUUUUCCCCUGUGGUUAUUAAUUGCCAGAAGAUUCUUCUUGUUCCAGUAGUAUCUGGAAGAAGAUGACUCUGCAAAUGUCAUCCAGCAAUCACUACUCUUUCUUUGGUAAUGUCUAUGACGUCCCAUCUAAUAAAGCCUUCAUCAAGUCAGGUUAGGUAAUUAUUGCUUCCUUAUAUCUGUUUAUCAUCUAAUGUUCACCUUCUAUUUUUAUGUCUUCUUUAUACUUAUAAAUAUAAGUAAUUACUUGUCAGUGAAUUGGGCAAACAAUCUUGAAAAUCUCUGAAAUAUACUGAAAUAUUCAGGCAGUAUAUGAGAUUGUUUUUCAAACCUCAGCAGGGUUAAUUAGAUCCUGCAGUUCAUUCGUUUGCACUGAAGUCAAUUGGAGUCUUGCUUGUGGAAAAUCUGCGAGACCAAAAAUUAUGCCCAGUGGGCACAUAGUUCUAUAGUAGGAAAUGUCAGCUCUGGAUGGUAGUAUUUCUGACUUCUCAUUGGUUAGACUCUCUCUACUCCCACACUUUUUCUCUCUUUCUCAAUUAGCUUUUCUUGCUUUUCUUGCCUUUUUAUGUGAGUGGGUUUUUUUUUUUUUUUUUAAUGGUUCUUAGAACUUGCUGUAUACAUGGUACAUGUUUUCAUUUCCAGAUCACUGAAAUGGAUAGGCAGGUAGAUAGGGUUUUCUGAGCUUGUGAAAUAUGUAGCAUAAUAUAAAACCCUCUUCUAAGUCUGUUUUGUCAAAUGUAUCAAAUGAUAUUUUUAAAAUUAUAUUUCUGGAGUAUAUUUUCAGCAUUUCUUAUUGCUGUUCUUGAUCUAUGUUUGACAGUCCCUUAACCUAUCUGUUAUAACCUUAAAUGAAUAGCAGCAUUUAAAAAUAUGGCUUCAGGGACUCCUCAGGAGGUUUCUUUGUAAGUGUACAUUUACUAGUUCAUCUGUAAAUUUAUUUUAUGAGGUGUUUAAACCUCAAGAAAACUGAAAAGCAUAAUAUUAAAGCCUGGUUUGCAUCUACUGAAGUGAAUGGGAACUUUGCAAUUGACUUUAAUGGUAGCCUAUGUCCUCUAAUUAUGAAAGUGGCAAGCAUGACAUACACAAAGCCACAAGGAGAAUUUUCUGUUUCAUCAUCUCCUAAUUCUGUUUGCAGAUGCUUUUGUAAAGCACAGGGAAGUUUGUUCUUGAAUUAAACAAUUCAGUGUUUGGACCUAAUCCUGAACCAUGUUUGUACUUAAGGUUGUGUUUUCCUUCUGGAAAGAUUGCAUAUUGCUCAUUUUCUCCAGGGUUCAUGGAGGUGACAAGGUAAGAAAUCCAGCCAAAUUCCAGUUCAAAUUUUCAAAAGGCUUUUGAAAAUUACACUUUUGGUUUUGAUCUUACAUCUGCCCUAUGGUGUGAGUAAUGGAAGAAGUUAAUGAAGCAGUUUUCUUCCUAAUUGUUUUGUUUUUUUUCACGUGAUCCAUUUUGACAAGGUCCCUGGAAAUGCACACAUGUACGUGUUUUCUCUUAAGGUUCACAGCAGUGUAGUAGAAAGUUUCCACCAUGCUAUUGUAAUUCCAGGCAUCAUUUUUUUUAUUGUAUUAGUGAAAGUGAGGGACAGUACACCACAAAAAAAAAAAAACCCCAAAAAAAACCUCCCAGAAUUCAGCUUUUUUUUAUGUUAGUGUAACAAGCACACCAGUCUGAACUGGCUAGAUGUGGUAAGUAAUUUGUAGUAGUUAAUAAUGCUAGACAAAAAUUCCCACAAUCUUCUUGCUGAGUCUGCUUCAGAUAUUACUCAUUUAGUGGCUUACAUACUAGUCUUGCUUCACACUUUUGAUACUUGUGAAAGAUUUAGAUGUUUUGUUGGUUACUGGAGUUGGUAGAACUGCAGAUAAGAGUUUGCCACAAGUAUUUGUUUGGGGCUGUGCUCAGCUGAAAAAUGCAACUUGUGCAGAGUGGAAAUGCUGUCCUUGGGGUGCACCAACUCCACUGAAGCCUCAGAGAGAGUUGAGCUGAGCUGAAGGGCUGCUGCCUGGCGCCCACUGCUCCCCCCAGCCAGCCCUGCCCUCUUUGCUGGGCUGAUCAGACUGAUGGCAUGGUAAUAAAUAAUGAAUUCUGCUACCUUAGCAGAGCCCCCUCCCACCUUGUCCAUGCUAGCAGCUCCCUCCCCUUGCCUCCUGCUAGAUUGGUGGCAGAUCAGACCUUUGUGGUCUGUCCCCUCAAGCCUACUGAGUCCUCAGGCUGCUGCCCCUUCUGGUUAUCCUUCCCCAAGGCUUUACUGGAGACUGCUUUUUUUGAGGUAUCCCAAUGUGAGGGCAACCAGGAGUCCAGUGAUGCAAUUGCUUUGGCCAUGACCCCGAAAUAUUGUAUACUGUCUUUCUCAAAAAACCCAGUAUGUCAUAAA